rnacentral:rRNA from 1 species
AGUGAACGCUGGCGGUAUGCCUAACACAUGCAAGUCGAACGGCAGCACAGUAAGAUCGUGCUCUUACGGGUGGCGAGUGGCGGACGGGUGAGGAAGACAUCGGAAUCUACUUUUUCUGGGGGGAGAACGUAGGGAAACGUACGCUAAUACAGCAUACGACCUACUGGUGAAAGCAGUGGAUCUUCGGACCUUGCGCGAUUUAAUGAGCUGAUGUCGGGUUAGCUAGUAGGCGAGGUAACGGCCCACCUAGGCGACGAUCGGGAGCCGACCUGAGAGGAUGAUCGGCCACACUGGGAAGGAGACACGGCCCAGACUCCUACGGGAGGCAGCAGGAGGGAAGCGUCGGGAAUGGACGAAAGUCUGACCGAGCAACGCCGCGGGAGUGAAGAAGGUUGUCGUAUCGGAAAGCUCGGUUGUAAGAGAAGAACGGGUGUGAGAGUGGAAAGUUCACGCUGUGACGGUAGCUGACCAGAAAGGGACGGCUAACUACGUG